rnacentral:lncRNA from 1 species
UUCUUUCCUUCCCUGGGCUUCAUCUGGCCAGAAACGAUCAAAAUUCCCAUCCAGAAUGACACACGGAGGUUACUGUACAAGCCCAUAACACCUUCGAACAUGCGCAGCCUAAAAUUCAACACAAGUAACCCAGGACAGCGUCUCCCCUGUAAGUGAUCAUCUGGAUUCGAAAUGCUCAGCAAAACAUGCUGGUGAAGCAGAAAACUUCAGGAAAGCACCAUAGCGCUGACUCCACAAUUAGAUCACGUGGCUUGUUUCCUUCUGCAUCCCCUAGCCCUGUUUGCUAGAGAAAAUGCUUGACUUUCUCUCUUGUCCCAGCGUUCAUCCCGCGGUUUUAUGAUGGUAAUCUGGCCCGCCUGACAAAAAGUCUCUUCGUUACAGGGACUGAUUUGCCAGCCGCUGUCCAGGACCCCCCUGAGCAGACGCCUGUGGAUUAUACUUCUUACACUCCAUUUUCCACAAGAGACACCCCUGUUUGUAUUCUGGCAGCAGACCGAGAGACUUCCCCAGAGCCACAACACUGUGAGCCCCCAGGAAACACAGAUAACCCAGGACAGGUAAAGCCUCCUCCAUGUCUCAGAAGUGUCCGACGAACUAAAAGCCAGCUUGACCUAGCAGUGAUUUAUGAAGCGUUUAG